rnacentral:rRNA from 1 species
UACGUAGGGGGCUAGCGUUGUCCGGAAUCAUUGGGCGUAAAGAGCGUGUAGGCGGUCCGGUAAGUCCGCUGUGAAAGUCGGGGGCUCAACCCUCGAAUGCCGGUGGAUACUGUCGGGCUAGAGUGCGGAAGAGGCGAGUGGAAUUCCUGGUGUAGCGGUGAAAUGCGCAGAUAUCAGGAGGAACACCAAUGGCGAAGGCGGCUACCUGGACAAUUGCUGACGCUCAGGCACGAAAGCGUGGGGAGCAAAAGGG